GUUGAACGCUGGCGGCAGGCUUAACACAUGCAAGUCGAGCGGAGAUGAGGUGCUUGCACCUUAUCUUAGCGGCGGACGGGUGAGUAAUGCUUAGGAAUCUGCCUAUUAGUGGGGGACAACAUUCCGAAAGGAAUGCUAAUACCGCAUACGUCCUACGGUAGAAAGCAGGGGAUCUUCGGACCUUGCGCUAAUAGAUGAGCCUAAGACGGAUUAGCUAGUUGGUGGGGUAAAGGCCUACCAAGGCGACGAUCUGUAGCGGGUCUGAGAGGAUGAUCCGCCACACUGGGACUGAGACACGGCCCAGACUCCUACGGGAGGCAGCAGUGGGGAAUAUUGGACAAUGGGGGAAACCCUGAUCCAGCCAUGCCGCGUGUGUGAAGAAGGCCUUAUGGUUGUAAAGCACUUUAAGCGAGGAGGAGGCUACUUUAGUUAAUACCUAGAGAUAGUGGACGUUACUCGCAGAAUAAGCACCGGCUAACUCUGUGCCAGCCGCCGCAGUAA
rnacentral:rRNA from 1 species